ensembl:lncRNA
AUGGUGGGGACACCAUGGGGACACAGGGGGGGAUUCCAUGGGGACACAAGGAGGGACCCGGUGGGGACAUGGGGACACAUGGAAGGACACAGUGGGGACAUGUGGAAGGUCCAAUGUGGGGACAUGGGGUCACACGGACACAUGGAUGGACACACUGGAGGGACACGACUCAUCCCAUGGUUGUCCCCAUGGCUGGAGCUCAUUGUCCCCCUGGUUGUCCCUAUGGCUGUCCCUAUGGCUGGAUCUCAUUGUCCCCCUGGCUGUCCCCAUGGAUGUCCCCAGGGCUGGAGCUCAUUGUCCCCCUGGUUCUCCUCAUGGUUGUCCCCAUGGCUUGAGCUCACUGUCCCCCUGGCUGUCCCCAUGGAUGUCCCCAUGGCUGGAUCUUAUUGUGCCCCUGGUUGUCCCCCUGGUUGUCCCUAUGGCUGGAUCUCGUUGUCCCCCUGGUUGUCCCCAUGGCUGUCCCUAUGGCUGGCUCUCAUCGUCCCCCUGGUUGUCCCCCUGGUUGUCCCCAUGGAUGUCUCUAUGGCUGGAUCUCGUCAUCCCCCUGGUGUCCCUAUGGAUGUCCCUAUGGCUGGAUCUCAUCAUCCCCCUGGUUGUCCCCAUGGCUGUCCCUAUGGCUGGAUCUCAUUGUCCCCCUGGCUGUCCCCCUGGCUGUCUCUAUGGCUGGAUCUCAUCAUCCCCCUGGCUGUCCCCCUGGCUGGAUCUCACUGUCCCCCAGGUUGUCCCCCUGGUUGUCCCUAUGGCUGCCCCUGUGGCUGGAUCUCAUUGUCCCCCUGGUUGUCCCCCUGGUUGUCCCUAUGGCUGUCCCUAUGGCUGGAUCUCAUCGUCCCCCUGGUUGUCCCCAUGGAUGUCUCUAUGGCUGGAUCUCAUCGUCCCCCUGGUUGUCCCUAUGGCUGGAUCUCAUUGUCCCCCUGGUUGUCCCCAUGGAUGUCCCUAUGGCUGGAUCUCAUCGUCCCCCUGGUUGUCCCCAUGGCUGUCCCUAUGGCUGGAUCUCAUUGUCCCCCUGGCUGUCCCCAUGGCUGGAUCUCAUCGUCCCCCUCGUUGUGCCCAUGGAUGUCUCUAUGGCUGGAUCUCAUCGUCCCCCUGGCUGUCCCCAUGGCUGUCCCCAUGGCUGUCCCCAUGGCUGUCCCCAUGGCUGGAGCUCAUUGUCCCCCUGGUUGUCCCCAUGGAUGUCUAUGGCUGGAUCUCGUCGUCCCCCUGGUGUCCCUAUGGAUGUCCCUAUGGCUGGAUCUCAUCAUCCCCCUGGUUGUCCCCAUGACUGUCCCCAUGGAUGUCUCUAUGGCUGGAUCUCAUCGUCCCCCUGGUUGUCCCCAUGGCUGUCCCUAUGGCUGGAGCUCAUUGUCCCCCUGGUUCUCCCCAUGGAUGUCCCUAUGGAUGUCCCUAUGGCUGGAUCUCAUUGUCCCCCUGGCUGUCCCCAUGGCUGUCCCUAUCGCUGGAUCUCAUUGUCCCCCUGGUUGUCCCCAUGGCUGUCCCUAUGGCUGGAGCUCAUUGUCCCCCUGGUUGUCCCUAUGGAUGUCCCUAUGGCUGGAUCUCAUUGUCCCCCUGGCUGUCCCCAUGGAUGUCCCUAUGGAUGUCCCCAUGGCUGGAUCUCAUUGUCCCCCUGGCUGUCCCCAUGGCUGUCCCUAUGGCUGGAGCUCAUUGUCCCCCUGGUUCUCCCCAUGGAUGUCCCUAUGGAUGUCCCCAUGGCUGGAUCUCAUUGUCCCCCUGGUUCUCCCCAUGGAUGUCCCUAUGGAUGUCCCCAUGGCUGGAUCUCAUUGUCCCCCUGGUUGUCCCCCUGGUUAUCCCUAUGGCUGGAUCUCAUCAUCCCCCUGGCUGUCCCCAUGGCUGUCCCUAUGGCUGGAUCUCAUUGUCCCCCUGGCUGUCCCCAUGGCUGUCCCCCUGGCUGGAUCUCAUUGUCCCCCUGGCUGGAUCUCACUGUCCCUAUGGCUGCCCCCAGGGCAGCAGAAGGUGGGGGGUGGCGGGGCGGCGCUGGCCCCAUAG